AGAAGGCUCCACGUCUUCAACUUUUGAGAACCCGGUUUUUGGUUUAACUUUUGAAGAAACCCUAAAAGUUCCCCACCGCCGCUACCAUUCCUUCUUCUCUCCUCUUCCCUCGCUCAACCAUUCUUCUUCUCAAUCACUCAUCCAUGGUUCCUGAUCUGAAGCACCCUAUUAGCAGAUCUGAACCCCCUUUUGAAGAAACCCUAAAAGUUCCCCACCGCCGCUAACAUUCGUUCUUCUCUCCUCUGCACUCGCUCAACCAUUCUUCUUAUGUUUCUUUGUGAUUAUUAUUUUGCACUCCACAUGUUUGAUACUUUGUCUCACAGAGGCCUUAACUCUUAAGGUGGUUUUUAUGAAUUUUGAUGCAAAAAUAGUGGCUGGGAACCACAAAUCGGCGACUGUGGUGACUUGCGGUGGUGGUUCUUGACUUCGACCAUGACAAUGGAAGACACCGGGUGCAAAUCCACGACGAGUUUUUUAGACGAAUGGAAGCGGUGGUGGUGACUACCGACGGUGGAGAUGACCUCCAACCGCUGGACAAGUGAUGAUUGACGAUGAUAGUAGCUUGGGUGGUGGUUUUGGAAGGAUUGGGUGCUGGUCUACCAUGUUUGGAUGCAACUGGAGGUUGUUUGGUCAGGGAGUUACCGAACCAAUGCUUUACAUAGGGAUGCUGUUCAGUAUGUUUGCUUGGCAUGUAGAAGACCAUUACUUAUAUAGCAUUAAUUACCAUCAUUGUGGAUCUGAAAAAACCUGGUACGGUGUUCCGGGUCACGCUGCACUAGAUUUCGAAAAAGUCGUUCGUUAAAAGGUGUCAUGAUACUCUGUCAACUGAAGGAGAAGACGGCGCUUUUGAUGUUCUCCUAGGAAAAACAACCUUAUUUCCUCCUAAUAUUUUGUCACAACACGGCGUUCCGGGUUACAAGGUUGUCCAAAAGCCCAGGGAAUAUGUCGUCAUGUUCCCCCGCGCAUAUCAUGCAGGAUUUAGUCAUGGUUUUAAUUGCGGUGAGGCUGUGAAUUUUGCGAUUGGUGACUGGUUCCCGUUGGGAUCAAUAGCUACACGUCGUUAUGCACUUCUUAACAGGACACCUUUGAUUCCUCACGAGGAACUUUUGUGUAAAGAAGCUAUGCUUAUUUCAUCAGUUGGUGAUUAUGGAGAUUUAGAAUGGCGUUCUGUAGAUAAUGCAUCUAGACUUACCUCAUUUGUUACUCAAGCAUAGGUAUUGUUAUGUUAAUCCAACUCUCCAAGUGAUGUGGCUGAUUUGCUUGACCAACAUAUUAAAAAGGGCGAGAUCAUCGAAAGGAUUUGGAGGGGUGAAAUGGGUGUUGCUCAUGUUGAGAAAGCGGAGAAGGUAGUUGAACCGACACUUCCGAACGGAAAUGAUCUGAAGGCGAUCACAAGAGACGAGAAGGAAAACACUAGAGGCUGUUGUCAAGGUGCCAAUGGAUUCUCAUGCUGCAAAGUUGAUGAUUCAGAAGCGAAAAAAGGAUGGGAAAAAAUCAACCUACAAGUUUGACUUCUUCACUAGAAAGUGGGAGCAACACGAGAUUUACACAGCUUCUGUUGUAGUUGGAGCUGUGGCAACUGUAGCUGUGGCAUAUAGCCUUUAUAAAAGAACAUGGUGAGUUUUGCAAUGAGAAAGUGACCUUCAAGAGGGUGUUCAGGUACAACCCUUUUAAAUUUGCGUUCGCCGUUGAUGGAACUCUCCAUGUUUUGCUUUUAGUGGUGUUGUGCUUGACGGUUAAUUCAUGUUCAGGUCUUUUAUAUUUGGUAAAAUCGGGGUCUGCCGGGUUUUGAGGGUUUCUUACUUUGUAUAGUCUUUAGGUAUAUUGUGAAUUUGUUUAUACAUUGAUGUAAACACAUACCUUUUUUAAGUGUAGUUUUUGGUGGAGCAUUGGAUCGGUUAUCAAGCUCCAUUUGCUAAAGUUUGAAGGCAUGGCUAACCCACUAAUGCUAUCCAUUCUUGGCUGGAUUCAGCAUUUGCCUGACCAACAUAUUAAGCAUAUUAAAAAGGGCGAGAUCAUCGAAAGGAUUUCGAGUUUACGAGUUGGAGGAAAAUGACAAGAUUUAAAACCUUUUGGAUCCAGAUGCGAAACAACAAACCUUUGGACGAAAUUCGCAAAAGUAGUCAAACCUCAGGGACGAAAAUGGCAUUUUACUCGAUAAAUUUACGUUGAGUUCAUAUAUAUUUACGUUACAUCAUACCCAAAUUUCAUCAUUUGCAGGCCCAAUAUUGGCUUUGAAAGUUUUUCACCAUAUUUGGUAAUCUUUUUCAUUUUUAUUGUAAAAACAAGCUAUUCGUUGAAUUUAUAUUUACGCAUUUAUUUAUGCCUAAAUUGCAUUGAAGUC